CGUAGGUGGCGAGCGUUAUCCGGAAUCAUUGGGCGUAAAGGGUGCGUAGGCGGCGAGUUAAGUCUGAGGUAAAGGUUGCAGCUCAACUGUAACAAGCCUUGGAAACUGACUAGCUAGAGUGCAGGAGAGGGCAGUGGAAUUCCAUGUGUAGCGGUAAAAUGCGUAGAUAUAUGGAGGAACACCAGUGGCGAAGGCGGCUGUCUGGCCUGUAACUGACGCUGAGGCACGAAAGCGUGGGAGCAAAUAGGAUU
rnacentral:rRNA from 1 species